rnacentral:rRNA from 1 species
GAUGAACGCUGGCGGCGUGCCUAAUACAUGCAAGUCGAGCGAACGGACGAGAAGCUUGCUUCUCUGAUGUUAGCGGCGGACGGGUGAGUAACACGUGGAUAACCUACCUAUAAGACUGGGAUAACUUCGGGAAACCGGAGCUAAUACCGGAUAAUAUUUUGAACCGCAUGGUUCAAAAGUGAAAGACGGUCUUGCUGUCACUUAUAGAUGGAUCCGCGCUGCAUUAGCUAGUUGGUAAGGUAACGGCUUACCAAGGCAACGAUGCAUAGCCGACCUGAGAGGGUGAUCGGCCACACUGGAACUGAGACACGGUCCAGACUCCUACGGGAGGCAGCAGUAGGGAAUCUUCCGCAAUGGGCGAAAGCCUGACGGAGCAACGCCGCGUGAGUGAUGAAGGUCUUCGGAUCGUAAAACUCUGUUAUUAGGGAAGAACAUAUGUGUAAGUAACUGUGCACAUCUUGACGGUACCUAAUCAGAAAGCCACGGCUAACUACGUGCCAGCAGCCGCGGUAAUACGUAGGUGGCAAGCGUUAUCCGGAAUUAUUGGGCGUAAAGCGCGCGUAGGCGGUUUUUUAAGUCUGAUGUGAAAGCCCACGGCUCAACCGUGGAGGGUCAUUGGAAACUGGAAAACUUGAGUGCAGAAGAGGAAAGUGGAAUUCCAUGUGUAGCGGUGAAAUGCGCAGAGAUAUGGAGGAACACCAGUGGCGAAGGCGACUUUCUGGUCUGUAACUGACGCUGAUGUGCGAAAGCGUGGGGAUCAAACAGGAUUAGAUACCCUGGUAGUCCACGCCGUAAACGAUGAGUGCUAAGUGUUAGGGGGUUUCCGCCCCUUAGUGCUGCAGCUAACGCAUUAAGCACUCCGCCUGGGGAGUACGACCGCAAGGUUGAAACUCAAAGGAAUUGACGGGGACCCGCACAAGCGGUGGAGCAUGUGGUUUAAUUCGAAGCAACGCGAAGAACCUUACCAAAUCUUGACAUCCUUUGACAACUCUAGAGAUAGAGCCUUCCCCUUCGGGGGGGCAAAGUGACAGGUGGUGCAUGGUUGCCGUCAGCUCGUGUCGUGAGAUGUUGGGUUAAGUCCCGCAACGAGCGCAACCCUUAAGCUUAGUUGCCAUCAUUAAGUUGGGCACUCUAAGUUGACUGCCGGUGACAAACCGGAGGAAGGUGGGGAUGACGUCAAAUCAUCAUGCCCCUUAUGAUUUGGGCUACACACGUGCUACAAUGGACAAUACAAAGGGCAGCGAAACCGCGAGGUCAAGCAAAUCCCAUAAAGUUGUUCUCAGUUCGGAUUGUAGUCUGCAACUCGACUACAUGAAGCUGGAAUCGCUAGUAAUCGUAGAUCAGCAUGCUACGGUGAAUACGUUCCCGGGUCU